rnacentral:lncRNA from 1 species
CUUUUUGGAAGCAAAACGGGCCUCAGGCUGGGGAUGGUUGGGAGGAUACCAUAGUGCAGAUGUCUCCUUCCCCUCUGUAAAUAGUAUUUUUAUACUUCAUCUUCACCAUCACCAUCUCAGGCUUUACACGUGCAGCCCCUCCCCCACCCAGGAUGGAGGGGGGGGCUGUGGAGUGUCCCCUUCCUUCCCUGAACAGGGCGGCUGAGAGUGGGAAAAGGUUAUGUAUUUAAAGAAAAUUAAAUUUAAUAACAUGUUUCUCUAAUCAAAUUUUUGGCUUGUGGUUGUGGCCUGUGCCAGGAGAGGGAACAGAGCUCUUUACCUGCCUUCCCCCAGUCAGACCAUACUUGAGGUUUCUAAUCCUUAACAAAACCUGAGGGCUGGACAUCUAUCUCAACAAUAGAGUGCUUGGGUAACAUGCUCAAGGCCCUGGGCUCAGUUUUUGGAAUGGAAAAAAAAAAAAAAAAAGUGGGGAGGGAGGAUUAACUUAUUGAACACUGGUAUAAAAUAAGAUCUGAUGAAGCCAGGAUCAAUCGUUGGAAGUUUUAGAAACAUUGUAAAGUUGAUUUCAAGCACAGCAUUCACUCAACUGACUUGAAUUCUACCUGGUGGUUGAUUGUCAGUGAUCUGGCGACCUCAGAGGCCCAUGUAGCUACCCUGGCACCCCAUCUCUUUACUAAUCCUGUGUCGCUGACAGUCCCUCCCUGGCACAUCCUAGCCUCCUACACACAUCUAGAAUUCCAUGUGGUAGCAACAGGUAUGACCCUGCGUGCAUCCAGAUCCUCCACCCACAGCCUCCAGCUUAGCUUUGCCAGUUUCCCAAGGGGCCUGCUGUCAACAGUGAGUGCGAUCAGAAUGGGAUGGUGUUGGGAACACCUUUCUUAAGCAUAAGGUAACUAGACCCUGGUUGGCCCUUGCUUGGGAGCACAAAUCGAUGCCAGUCAAGCAGGCAGCACGCCUUGGGUGCUGAGCUCAGGAAAGCCAUUUGCUGAGCAUGGUUUGGAUUGAUGUCAGCUGUGAAAAAGCUACCCAUCAUUGAGUACUAGAUACCUGGAGUAGGUAUAGUGCUGUCUUACUCAGCCAUUGUCUUAUGCAUCUUGGACAACACCAAGGUGUAAUUGGGUACCUGACUAUGGGCUCUUCUACAGGAAGGUGCCUUUACUCUUUACAUUAAGUGACCCCUGCUUGCUAUUGUCAACCUUAAGAGAAACAGAUCUCUCUCCACUGGGUCACCACUUCCUCUUCUAGCAGUGAUAGUCUGGAAGUAUUGAGGAAUUUUGAUGUAUUUUCUCAGCCGAUUUCAGCCUACCCCUCAGUUCCUGCUGCAGGUGGAUUCACUGGUGGAGAAAGUAAUCAGGUUGGCUUUGUAUCUCCCACCUCAUCAUCUCUCCUUGCAACUGGGAGGGUUCAUCAGUGUUAGCAUCCUGAUGAAAAUGUUAGCACGAAAAAGCUUGUUUCACAGCUUUCAAAACAGUGUUACCAGGUCAAAAUGAUGUGGGGGCAGGAAAUACCUUUUAUUCCCCGUGCUUCUAUUGAACCUGGGUGGUAUAUAUUACAGAGUACACAGAAGGGAAAAUGAUACUGGUUAGCUGAUCAGCUCAACUGGCAGCCGCUAAGCACAAUUAGACACUAUGUCCCCAAUUCACACAGUCACCUGUGAAGUCUUGUGACUUGGUUAAGCCUUUUUAGAACACCUGCUGCCUGGUUUGGCCACUUGACAGGCAAAUCCUGACCUUGGCGAAAUGGUGUGAGCACUGUGCUUGGGUGGCAAGCUCACAUAAUCGAGAUCUUUACUCAGCUGUCUUUUCAGCAGCAGCCCGAGUGUAUAUUGCCAAGACAUGAUGCUCAAUCAGCAGCCCGAGUGUAUGCCAAGACAUGCUCAGUCUAGGGAGCAGUAAUGUGGACAUUGACUUUGAUUAACCAGACUGUGGGGACCAGAGAGUUCAAACCAUUCUGUAUGAACUGAGGUGGGAAAGACAGUAGGUUAGAACAUAAAGGGAGGAAGUACUGUGUGGAAGCCAGGAACAGGAUUGGAUAGAGUAAGCACCCUGAACUUUAUUUACAUAAAACUUAAAAAAAAAAACCCACUAUGUUCCAUCUGAGAACUAAGCAAAUUAUUCUCUCCUCUGGGUCCUAUAUAUAGCCACAGGCAGCUACAAUAGACCUAUAACUAUUCAAAUUAGCAAAGAAUGUAUACCUUGAAUAUAUCUGAAAGGGAAAAAGAUCAAAGGAAGUUGUGUUGUGACCAGUACAUGCCAGCUUCAGCAAAGAAGGGUUUUUGUUCUUUCCCCCCAACAGAAGACAUUUUUCUUGCUUCUCUGAAUAUACUGAAUUUAGGAUUAGUUUGUUUAAAAAAAAAUCGGUGCUCACAUAAUUAGACACUAAGUGUCAGCUAACUAACACAACCCCAGGCAGUGUGGAUCCAAGGUCAGUGUCACUUUCCUUGCCCCACAGUUUUGAAAGCAGAUGGUGCUAAAGACUCUCAAAGUACCAGGUGCUGUCAAGCCUGGUGCAGUCUGGGAAGACAAGCCUCAUCAUAGGCCUGUGAGCUGUACCCUAGCCACUGUUAGGAACAGGGCAGGGUCUUGGAAUUUAUAGUCUGUGUUUGAUUACUUGUUUAAUUUGGUGUCUCUUGUGUUUAAUUCCACAAUGAAUGACUUUUU